rnacentral:rRNA from 1 species
AGAGUUUGAGUCCUGGCUUAGGAUGAACGCUAGCGACAGGCUUAACACAUGCAAGUCGAGGGCAGCAUAGAAGUAGCAAUACUUGGUGGCGACCGGCGCACGGGUGAGUAACGCGUAUGCAACCUACCUAUCAGAGGGGAAUAACCCGGCGAAAGUCGGACUAAUACCGCAUAAAACAGGGGCACCGCAUGGUGAUAUUUGUUAAAGAAAUUCGCUGAUAGAUGGGCAUGCGUUCCAUUAGGUAGUUGGUGAGGUAACGGCUCACCAAGCCGACGAUGGAUAGGGGAACUGAGAGGUUGGUCCCCCACACUGGUACUGAGACACGGACCAGACUCCUACGGGAGGCAGCAGUGAGGAAUAUUGGUCAAUGGGCGGGAGCCUGAACCAGCCAAGUCGCCGUGAAGGAAGAAGGAUCUAUGGUUCGUAAACUUCUUUUGCAGGGGAAUAAAGUGCAGGACGUGUCCUGUUUUGUAUGUACCCUGAGAAUAAGGAUCGGCUAACUCCGUGCCAGCCGCGGC